AGCGAACGCUGGCGGCAGGCCUAACACAUGCAAGUCGAACGAACCCUCCGGGGGUGGUGGCGGACGGGGGAGUAACGCGUGGGAACGUGCCUUUAGGCUCGGAAUAACACAGGGAAACUGGUGCUAAUACCGAAAGAGUUCCGCGGGGGAAAGAUUUGUCGCAUUUAGAGAGGCAGGCGUCCGUUUAACUAGGUGGUGGAGGUAAUGGCUCACCAGGGCGACGAACAGUACAUGGUAUGAGAGGAUGAUCAGCCACAUUGGGACUGAGACACGGCCCAAACUCCUACGGGAGGCGGCAGUGGGGGAUCUUGCGCAAUGGGCGAAAGCCUGACGCAGCCAUGCCGCGUGAAUGAUGAAGGUCUUAGGAUUGUAAAAUUCUUUCAUCGGGGACGAUAAUGACGGUACCCGGAGAAGAAGCCCCGGCUAACUUCGUG
rnacentral:rRNA from 1 species